AAAGCGGCGAAAGGGAGAGUAACGCGUAGAUACCUACCCCUGGGUUCGGGAUAGCUGCGGGAAACUGCAGGUAAUACCGGAUAAUGUCCCCGGACCAAAGAUUUAUCGCCUGGGGAUGGGUCUGCGUCCUACUAGCUUGUUGGUGGGGUAAUAGCCUACCAAGGCUUAGAUGGGUAGCGGGUGUGAGAGCAUGGCCCGCCUCACUGGGACUGAGACACUGCCCAGACACCUGCGGGUGGCUGCAGUCGAGAAUCUUCCGCAAUGGGCGAAAGCCUGACGGAGCGACGCCGCGUGCGGGAUGAAGGCCUUCGGGUUGUAAACCGCUGUCAGUGGGGAGGAAAUCACUUCGGUGUUGACCGAUCCGCAGAGGAAGCGCAGGCUAAGUUCGUGCCAGCAGCCGCGGUAACACGAACUGCGCGAACGUUAUUCGGAAUCACUGGGCUUAAAGAGUUCGUAGGCGGCCAAGUCAGUCGGGUGUGAAAUCCCUCGGCUCAACCGAGGAACUGCGCCCGAUACUGCUUGGC
rnacentral:rRNA from 1 species